rnacentral:rRNA from 1 species
AGAGUUUGAUCAUGGCUCAGAGUGAUCGCUGGCGGCGUGCUUAACACAUGCAAGUCGAGCGAAUUUCAGCAGCGUAUCGCUGGAGUUAGCGGCAGACGGGUGAGUAAUACUUGGGCAAUCUGCCCUUGAGUGGGAAACAACCUGACGAAAGUCGGGCUAAUGUCCCAUAAGACCACAGGAUGGCAUCAUCCAGGGGUCAAAGCUCCGCAAGGGGCGCUUGAGGAGGAGCCCGAGUCCUAUCAUGGUAGUUGGUGAGGUAACGGCUCACCAAGCCUUUGACGGGUAGCCGGCCUGAAAGGGUGAUCGGCCACACUGGCACUGAGACACGGGCCAGACUCCUACGGGAGGCAGCAGUGGGGAAUUUUGGACAAUGGGGGCAACCCUGAUCCAGCGACGCCGCGUGAAGGAUGAAGGUCUUCGGAUUGUAAACUUCUUUUGAUGGGGAUGAAUGCCUUGGUGAAUAGCCAAGGGUGACAGUACCCGUUGAAUAAGCCACGGCUAACUACGUGCCAGCAGCCGCGGUAAUACGUAGGUGGCAAGCGAUACUCGGAAUCACUAGGCGUAAAGCGCAGGUAGGCGGUUUGGUAAGUCUCUUGUGAAAGCUCCCGGCUUAACUGGGAGAGGUCAAGGGAAACUACCAGGCUAGAGUGUGGUAGGGGAUACUGGAAUUCCUGGUGUAGCGGUGAAAUGCGUAGAUAUCAGGAGGAAUACCUAUGGCGAAAGCAGGUAUCUGGGCCAUCACUGACGCUGAGCUGCGAAAGCUAGGGGAGCAAACAGGAUUAGAUACCCUAGUAGUCC